UGAAACUCGAAAGAGUUUGGUUCUGAAAAACAUUUGUAUCCGGUUAUCAAAUCUGUUCUACCAAUUUAUCAAACAAUAAACCCCAUGUACAACAACUUGAACUAAACAUUUUUUUGUUGUCUGCUUCGCGGCAGAUGAAAAGAAAAAACCUGAACUUAAGAACAACUCUUAACAACGGAUAUCUUGGUUCUCGUAUCGAUGAAGAACGCAGCGAAAUGCGAUACGUAAUGCGAAUUGCAGAAUUCAGUGAAUCAUCAAAUCUUUGAACGCAAAUUGCGCUCUCGGGAUAGGCCUGAGAGCACGCCUCUUUGAGUAUCGAUUCCACCACCUCCAGAACAAACUGAUCAUUUCGAUUGGUUUUGACACUGGGAAUUUGAGUGCUUACGUCGUCAGAUGUGUCACUUGAAGCGGAAUGGAAUUGAGGGUCUUGCGAAAUUGCUGUUGAAUGUCAGUUUGCUGAAGUGGACUUGAACAUGGAUAAAUUUCAAUGAUCAAUAAACUUUGGCUUAUUUGAUAUCAGCGAAUGCUAAGUUUUGCAAACAAAAAGCCCUCUCCUAACUAAUUUUUUUAAUUUUCUGAGAAUUAGAUCUCAAAUGAAGCGAGACAACCCGCUGAACUUAA
rnacentral:rRNA from 1 species